rnacentral:rRNA from 1 species
UACGGAGGAUCCGAGCGUUAUCCGGAUUUAUUGGGUUUAAAGGGUGGUCGUAGGCGGCCUAGUUAAGUCAGGGGUGAAAGACGGUAGCUUAACUAUCGCAGUGCCUUUGAUACUGAUAGGCUUGAAUAUACUUGAGGUAGGCGGAAUGUGACAAGUAGCGGUGAAAUGCAUAGAUAUGUCACAGAACACCAAUUGCGAAGGCAGCUUACUAAAGUAUGAUUGACGCUGAGGCACGAAAGCGUGGGGAUCAAACAGG